GUAGGGAGCAAGCGUUGUUCGGAAUUAUGGGCGUAAAGAGCGCGUAGGCGGCCAGGUAAGUCUGGUGUGAAAUCCCACAGCUCAACUGUGGAACUGCAUUGGAAACUGCUUGGCUAGAGUGCGGGAGAGGAGAGUGGAAUUCCCAGUGUAGAGGUGAAAUUCGUAGAUAUUGGGAGGAACACCAGUGGCGAAGGCGGCUCUCUGGACCGCAACUGACGCUGAGGCGCGAAAGCUAGGGGAGCGAACGGGAUUAGAUACCCCGGUAGUCCUAGCCGUAAACGAUGGGCACUAGGUGUAGGAGGUAUCGACCCCUUCUGUGCCGUAGCUAACGCAUUAAGUGCCCCGCCUGGGGAGUACGGUCGCAAGACUA
rnacentral:rRNA from 1 species